rnacentral:rRNA from 1 species
AUUGAACGCUGGCGGCAGGCCUAACACAUGCGAGUCGAGCGGAUGAAGGGAGCUUGCUCCUGGAUUCAGCGGCGGACGGGUGAGUAAUGCCUAGGAAUCUGCCUGGUAGUGGGGGAUAACGUCCGGAAACGGGCGCUAAUACCGCAUACGUCCUGAGGGAGAAAGUGGGGGAUCUUCGGACCUCACGCUAUCAGAUGAGCCUAGGUCGGAUUAGCUAGUUGGUGGGGUAAAGGCCUACCAAGGCGACGAUCCGUAACUGGUCUGAGAGGAUGAUCAGUCACACUGGAACUGAGACACGGUCCAGACUCCUACGGGAGGCAGCAGUGGGGAAUAUUGGACAAUGGGCGAAAGCCUGAUCCAGCCAUGCCGCGUGUGUGAAGAAGGUCUUCGGAUUGUAAAGCACUUUAAGUUGGGAGGAAGGGCAGUAAGUUAAUACCUUGCUGUUUUGACGUUACCAACAGAAUAAGCACCGGCUAACUUCGUGC